rnacentral:lncRNA from 7 species
CCUUGCUGCCGUCUCUCCACACCAUUCACUGCGCCGCCACGUCCCGCGCGGAGAAGUUGAACCCGCCGCCAGAGAACUCGUCUGUGCCGAGCAUACCAGCCUUUACGCACGGUUGAGGGUGUGCACCGGGGGCCAGGGUAGCCGGCUGUGCCCCAAUUUGAACUACACACCGCUCGGGCUCAAGGAAUUCCUCACCGGAGGCCAAAUCUGGGCGGAAUCGCCCCUCCUCCGGGGUCCAAGCGCGUCGCAUCGUCACCGUCGGU